AGCAGAAAUUAGUCACCAAGGGCAAGAAGGAGAAGGAUGGCCAAACACCUGAGCCGAAAAGAGGCAUAAAACUAAUGGUUAAAGAUGAAAAAAGUGCUUCAGAUUAGAAUGGAGAGAUGUUGGGAUUUCUUUCUUUUCCUUUUGUUUGACCAAAACAGUUUGUCAUAGGGAGCAUUUGGUCAUUUGCUGGUCCAUUAUCCCUCAGUCCUGCAUGAUCCUUCAUUAUUUUUUUAUAAACAUUAAUUGUUGCAUGAUCUGACGGACUAAGUUAAUUUGAUGCUACAAGGCUAUCUCUCUGUGUGUGUGUGUGUGUGUGUGUGUGUGUGUUUGUGUGUGUGUGUGUGUGUCAGUGUGUCUUUGUGUCAGUUUGAAAUUGCUGCAAAUGUACUGUGCCCACAGCUCACUGGCUCUGCUUCGGUGACAUCACUGAAGUUUCACAUCUGACCCGGACCCUCACUUACUUCGAGUCCUUUUGCAAUGGCUGAACAAGCUGAGAGGAGAAAAGCUGACCGGCGCUUCACUGCUUGGUUUGCCACAGACCGCAGGAGAACCUACCUGUCCACCUGGCGAGAAACAGCACGCCGGAACAAAUAGCCUCAGAGGUUCAAAAGACGGAGUCCAGCAAGCACUGGAUGCUUAGAGCUAGGACGUGGGACCACAGCCACAUUUGUGCCCUCCAUUUGUGCAGAACCUCGCAGGAGAACUUCUGAACCGUGGCUUCUUCGUGACAGACCUGCCCCUAGGAGCCCGGAGCCGGAGGUUUGGCGGAGGAGGCUGAUGACCCGUCCUGUCUUCAUGAAAAAUAAGUGUACUCUGACCGUGCAACACACGUGCGAAACACAAAAAGCACCACGAGAGGGUGAAACUCUAUCCAUCUAUCUAUCUAUCUAUCUAUCUAUCUAUCUAUCUAUCUAUCUAUCUAUCUAUCUAUCUAUCUAUCAAUCAUAUUCUCCAGGAUAUAACCCUUGGCUUCUCGG